UACCUGGUUGAUCCUGCCAGUAGUCAUAUGCUUGUCUCAAAGAUUAAGCCAUGCAAGUCUAAGUACGAGCUCUCGUACAGUGAAACUGCGAAUGGCUCAUUAAAUCAGUUAUGGUUCAUUUGAUCGUACAGUUUACUUGGAUAACUGUGGUAAUUCUAGAGCUAAUACAUGCGAGAAGCGCCGACCUCGCGGGAGGCGUGCAUUUAUCAGACCAAAAACCGGCCGCGUCUUCGGGCGCGUUCGCCUUGGUGACUCUGGAUAACUUUGCGGAUCGCACGGUCUAGCACCGGCCGACGGAUCAUUCAAGUGUCUGCCCUAUC
rnacentral:ncRNA from 1 species